rnacentral:rRNA from 1 species
UGGGGAAUUUUGGACAAUGGGCGAAAGCCUGAUCCAGCAAUGCCGCGUGUGUGAAGAAGGCCUUCGGGUUGUAAAGCACUUUUGUCCGGAAAGAAAUCCUUGGCUCUAAUACAGUCGGGGGAUGACGGUACCGGAAGAAUAAGCACCGGCUAACUACGUGCCAGCAGCCGCGGUAAUACGUAGGGUGCAAGCGUUAAUCGGAAUUACUGGGCGUAAAGCGUGCGCAGGCGGUUUGCUAAGACCGAUGUGAAAUCCCCGGGCUCAACCUGGGAACUGCAUUGGUGACUGGCAGGCUAGAGUAUGGCAGAGGGGGGUAGAAUUCCACGUGUAGCAGUGAAAUGCGUAGAGAUGUGGAGGAAUACCGAUGGCGAAGGCAGCCCCCUGGGCCAAUACUGACGCUCAUGCACGAAAGCGUGGGGAGCAAACAGGAUUAGAUACCCUGGUAGUCCACGCCCUAAAACGAUGUCAACUAGUUGUUGGGGAUUCAUUUCCUUAGUAACGUAGCUAACGCGUGAAGUCGACCGCCUGGGGAGUACGGUCGCAAGAUUAAAACUCAAAGGAAUUGACGGGGUCAUAGCUGUUUCCU